UCUUACAGCACGUACUGUGUUUUUGAGGGAGGGACUCUGGUUUCGUCCACUGAACCCAAUUCCUUUGUGGCCCAUCCACAAAUGGUGUCGUGCAUGAAUCAGUAGUUCCUCUGUCUUUCUUGCCGAGGAUGAGGAUGGAUGAUGCACCACAACUUGUUUGUUGACGCCCCUGUUGGUGCCGGUUUCAGCUGCUUCCAGUUUGGGGCUGUUACCAAAACAGCUGCCCCACCGUCAGCGCUGGGAGGGGUCCCCGAGGACGGAGCUCAAGCAGAGAGAUCCUCGUUGUGGUGCCAGCCAUGUGCUCAGGGCCCCUGCAGGGCCCCCUUCAUUCUUGCCGUUUCCUGUCCCCCUUGUCACUGAGGACUGAACUCUGAUCUUUCUCUUUGCCCCAAAAAAUUCCUUUCUAUGAGGGCCUGGUGAGUCACACCUACAAAUGAUAAAAUCUCAGUAAACAGGUUUUUAUGAUGUGGUUUUACUUCCAGACCUGAUUCCGAUAGAGCAGCACAUGAAGGAUAGAAGACUCUUAUCUUAACUGAAGCGUUCCUUUCCUCUGAUUCCUGGCCUUUGGACAAUGCCUAACUCUUUCAGCCGAUUGUCAACUCAAGAAUCCCUAAACCCACCUAUGACCUGUUAAGCCCCUGCUUGGAGAUGUCCCACCUUUUCAGGCCAAAUCAAUGUGCGCCUUUCACGUACUGAUUUAUGACUUUACCUGUAAUCUCCUCCCGGAAAUGCGUAAAACCAACCUGUGACCCAGCCACGGCGAGUCCACUUGAUCAAGGCUUCUUGGGCGUAGCCCCGGGCCGCGGUCCUCAGAUUUGGCUCAGAAUAAACCUCCUUAAAUUAUUUUACGGAGUUAGUCUUCUUUUCCGUGGACAUCACCAAUCUCAGAGGCAGUACGUGAAGACCAAGGACAUUCUAUAGGACAUCAGGUGGCAGGAUGGGGCAGCAGGAAACACCAAAACUCAGAAAAGAGCACAGAGGAUGGAACAAAAGCAGAAGUGACACUGGAGAUGCUCACUGCAAACUAGGAAGCAACCUCCGAGGUCGGUCCUAUUGACAGUCACCCAGUGAUCACGUCGUGAGGAAGCCACGAAGCUCACGCCCGCCGUGUGCGUCUGCAGCCUCACGUCCACCUCCCGGGAGUGUGACCCCUGACCCCACCCAGACACAGCCGCGGUCUCAGCCUCCCCGCACGCAGGAAUCAGAGGUGCCAGACCAGAGAAGAUUCAGGAAACAAAAAGCGCAAGCCCGACACUAAUGCUAAAUUUGCUUUUAAAAAGGCAAAACUCCAUGACCAUUUUAAGAUGCCGAUGAUUCGGAAAAUAAGUAGAUUUUUAAAAUCCCUGUAAUAUCCCUGUUUUGAGCAUCUGGCUUUUUAAUCCUGCCUGUCCCAGGGACCUGCUGUUUUGCAGCCUAAUAAUCCCAUAGUCACAACUUAUGCUUAGAGUUUGUAGCUGCACCGCCUUAAAUUCUAGUGCCCGGCCAUGGAAAUUCAUCACACUGAACCCUCCAUUCCGGUCCUUCAGGGCUCUGAGAACGGGACAUCUGGAGGAGGCCAGAUGUUAGCCCUUCAGGGAAGCGUAGUCCCGAAACCCCCGCUGUGGGCCCAGAGCUAACCACAUCCUCCUGUUCUUGGCAGUGCCAGCGACUGAUGCAAUUAAUAUUGCAGAGGUGAGACGCAGCAGAGACGUCCCCGUGCCUGACUCUGAGGGUGGGUACGCGGCGAGACAAAUGCCCCGUCUCCUGCCAGGAAACCAUCUGAGAAUUGCUUCAGUGUUGCCUGGCAUUGCACAGACGUCCCAGAAAGAACAUUUCUAUUAUCUGAGUUUCAAGUAAAUCCAAGAUGUUCCCAUUAGCAACGUUUCCUCCUCUGGUACCGGGAAUACUCCAGAAGUCAGUGCAGUGUGACAAUGCACAUGUGUCUCUCCCGGUAGAUUUAAUCUCCCGCCUUACUCCCCUUUGUGUCUCCAGGACAAAAAUGUCGCCCUAUUUGUUCAAUGUUAAUAAAUUAUGAAUAAACAGUAAAUGAAUAACAUCCACAAGUGACUCAUAAAGGGAUGCAGAGCAUGUUUAUUUGGCACAGUCAAAGCAGGGAGAUACUUUAGUUGGUGGAAUAUUUUGGCCAAUACAGUGUCCUAUACACGGGUCAUCGACUGCCAAAGGCUGAGGACCCGGUGCCCUGGGCAUGAAAACUCAAGUGAGACGAAAGUGAAGAUUUAGAGAGAUCCAGCAGAGGCACCAGGACCAGUGCAUGAAUUCACACUUGAUGGAAGGAGAGAAGCCAACGCCGGCUGCAUUCUGAGAAAGACACAAGCUGCGUCUCCCCUACGAAGGAGUCAGGCUGCACGGGGCUGGCAGUCUCCCUGCAAGGCUGAAAUUCUGAUCUUCAACAUCCCAUUAAAUAUUGGUAUCUCCUA